rnacentral:rRNA from 1 species
AGUGAACGCUGGCGGUAGGCCUAACACAUGCAAGUCGAACGGCAGCACAGUAAGAGCUUGCUCUUACGGGUGGCGAGUGGCGGACGGGUGAGGAAUACAUCGGAAUCUACUUUUUCGUGGGGGAUAACGUAGGGAAACUUACGCUAAUACCGCAUACGACCUACGGGUGAAAGCAGGGGAUCUUCGGACCUUGCGCGAUUGAAUGAGCCGAUGUCGGAUUAGCUAGUUGGCGGGGUAAGGGCCCACCAAGGCGACGAUCCGUAGCUGGUCUGAGAGGAUGAUCAGCCACACUGGAACUGAGACACGGUCCAGACUCCUACGGGAGGCAGCAGUGGGGAAUAUUGGACAAUGGGCGCAAGCCUGAUCCAGCAAUACCGCGUGGGUGAAGAAGGCCUUCGGGUUGUAAAGCCCUUUUGUUGGGAAAGAAAAGCAGCAGGUUAAUACCCCGAUGUUCUGACGGUACCCAAAGAAUAAGCACCGGCUAACUUCGUG